rnacentral:lncRNA from 1 species
UAACUAAACCCAAGUCUUGAUCAAAACAAGAAUUAAUCUUCCUCGCAAUUAGGCUCAAUCUAAUCAAAUCCAAUCCUAUUCAAAUUGAAUCCAAUUCAAUUAGACUUGAUCUGAAUCUCAAUUGCUCAAUCAGAUUGAGCCAAUUAAUAAUCAAUUGCUAAUUAAUCCUUCUAUGAUUCACUAACACUUAGUGAAUUAUCUAAUUGUAACUUUUGCACAAGAUUAAUCAUCAAUCAAAUUGAUGAUUUUAUCCUUCAAUGAUUCAUAAUCAUCAAUCAGCCAUC